rnacentral:rRNA from 1 species
UACGUAGGGGGCAAGCGUUAUCCGGAAUUAUUGGGCGUAAAGCGUCCGUAGAUGGUCGUUUCAAGUCUGCUGUCAAAGACCGGGGCUUAACCCCAGAAAGGCGGUGGAAACUGAACAGCUAGAGAGAGGUAGGGGUAGAGGGAAUUCCCAGUGUAGCGGUGAAAUGCGUAGAUAUUGGGAAGAACAUCAGUGGCGAAAGCGCUCUACUGGACCUUAUCUGACAUUGAGGGACGAAAGCUAGGGGAGCGAAUGGG